rnacentral:misc_RNA from 1 species
AGCGCGCCCCGGCUUGAGUGGAGCUCUUUUUCUGGCAUUGCGAUGUGGAAAUGUUCAAACGGAUGACCUCACGUCGUAAGCAAUGACAGAAAAAAGCGGGAACGGAAGACGGAAAUAGGC